GCAAGUAAAGCUUCAAGCAUUAGUUUUGUAAACUAAAGGAUACCUAUGUAUGCUUGCU
rnacentral:tRNA from 1 species